rnacentral:lncRNA from 1 species
CCUCCUCCUCCUCCUCCUCCUCCUCCUAUAUAUACAUAAUUAAAGAGUUCAUUCCUUACCCCUCCCACCACCAGGAUGAGUUCAAGGAAAACCAGGUCCUUCUUUUUAUGGCCGCUCGUGGCUUCCGCCUGCUUUCUUCUUUCUGUUGCCUUCUUUCCUAAUAACCCUUACAAGGUCACCCCACAAAAAGAUCUCGAUCAAAGAGAAGACCCAAAACAAAAGCUUACUUCGCAUAACUCUACCAAAGGUAUGAUCCUCGAGAAAACAAAUGAUUCUUAUUUAUCUUUUCUGAUUACUAUCGAAAUGGUUUAUUUGAUUAAUAUAUAUUUGAAUAUGCAGCCUUUUAGUUUGGAUUGAUGAUGACUGGUUUUAUUGUGCAGUUAAAAUGGGUUGUGAUUUUUCCAAAGGUAAAUGGGUACCAGAUUCUGGAGGACCUGCUUACACUAACGCUACGUGCCG